UACGUAGGGUGCGAGCGUUGUCCGGAAUUACUGGGCGUAAAGAGCUCGUAGGUGGUUUGUCGCGUUGUUCGUGAAAACUCACAACUCAAUUGUGGGCGUGCGGGCGAUACGGGCAGACUGGAGUACUGCAGGGGAGACUGGAAUUCCUGGUGUAGCGGUGGAAUGCGCAGAUAUCAGGAGGAACACCGGUGGCGAAGGCGGGUCUCUGGGCAGUAACUGACGCUGAGGAGCGAAAGCGUGGGGAGCGAACAGG
rnacentral:rRNA from 2 species